UUGUGCUUAGGAUUUCAAAGAGGGGUUUACACUCAUAUCUCUGAUGCAGAAGCAGCUAGGAGUGCUAUCAGAGCUACAGUUGUUAUGUAUAGAUUAACCCAGCAAGAGCCUUUGCAAUGACACCAUUUGGAAAUGUGAGCUCCUAGUGACACACAAUUCCUAGCACAACUGUGCUUUCAAAAUCUCGAACGUUGAAUGCUGAGCAAUCUCCGCAUUUCAAAUUAAUUCAUUGUCUGUGAAGUCCUUAUGUAAAUAGAAAUCUGACUUCUCCAAAUGUCUCAAGGAAAUUCAAGGUGAGGCCCCAGAAGACUGGAGAAUAGCUAAUGUUGUCCCAAGAAGGGGAGCAGGGAGUUACAGACCUGUGAGCCUGUACAUACUAUAACCUCAAUACUACCACACAACAUGCUGGAAUCUGGAGUGGACCCAUUGCUCAGUGAGACUCACCAGUCAUUCUCAUCGAUGGCAAGAACAUUCAAUGCAGUCAACAGUGCAAGACCAAUCUGUGAGAAAGACCCAAAGGAAAAUCAGGCCUCAGUAUGGUCACACAGCAGCCACUAAAGUAGAAAAGCAUAUUCAUCAGGUAUCAGGGAAAGAGUCAAUUCAAACGAGGUGGUCCAAGCAGCCCAACAUUUUGUGUCUUUCUCUGCUUGAUAAGGAAGGUGCUGACUGUCUCAGGACAAACCAAUAUCUGAGCAGGGAUCAGCAUCAGGCUGUGGAAUCCUCUAUGUCGAAAUGUUACAAGUCCAAUGCUAGUUCCAGGUAGGGGGAAAGGAUGAAUUUAGUGUCUUAAGGCCUCCCUGAGCUUUAAAAAUGGGUGUUCUGUGGGCCACGGGCCAAUUUAAUCUUCUAUACCUACAUGGGUAGAACACAGGUGAGAUGUUAGAAGAGAUUCUAAUGCAGGGGAUAUCAUGUGAGGAGAAAGCCUGGGCCAAAUGCUUCUGAUGAUUGGUGUGAACAGGGUCCACAAUGGAUUCAGAAGUCAUUUUGGCUCUGGUUUGACAAAAGCCAUUCACUUAUCACGUGUGCUGCAGAACCUACCAAUGAAAUGUGGAAAGAGAUAAAUUUGUGUCAAAUAUGCAGCUAAAAUGUCCAAAAGUCUUGGCAUCUAAAAAUCGGUUUGCAGUGAAUCCAAAACACAUGACUCAGAAGAACGUUUUCUGUGAAGAGUUUGGCUGAAAGGCAGUGCCCUGGGGAAUUCUUCUGUAAAAUUAGAACUUUGUGGGUGAGAGAUGUAAAGAUUACAGGGGAGUCCCAUUGAAAACUGUUUUCGCCAGGGGAAUCCAUUGGGAAAGAAAUGCACUGAAUGUCCCUUUAAAAUAAACCACGACAGUGAGAGUUCUGCUGACAACGUUGGUUCAGGUUACUCAGAGGAGCCUCCGUACUUGACACAGACAUCGACCAGUGAAGCUGAGCGAAAAAACACACACCUCAUGUUUGCCAAAGCUCUAAAUAUUCAUUUAUACUAUUGCUGCCAUCUGCAGUUUGGCAUGAGCACUACAAGUCAGUUUGACCUCGCAUUUUG